rnacentral:tRNA from 1 species
GCCCGGAUAGCUCAGUCGGUAGAGCANGGGGAUUNGAAAANUCCCCGUGUCCUUGGUUCGAUUCCGAGUCCGGGCACCA